ensembl:lncRNA
CCAAUGGCCAUUUAUGUCAUAUCUAGCCUGUGUUUCCCAAUGUCAGAAGUUUCUGUGCACCUUGCACAGCAGGAGUUCCAUCUGGUCUUGGUUGAGGGGUGGGUGUCCAGUGGUUAGCAUAAUGGUGAAAAAGGUAAAUAUUCUGUGUACAUAUUUGUGUUCAGAAGAUUGAAGAGGGCUCAUGACAUAUUUGUGGCUAAUAAUUCAAAGGAAGUCACAAGCUAAAGAUGUCUGUCAUUCUUUAUACUAAAUAUGGUCCUAAGAUGCAAAUGCCUAUGUUGAAGGAAAAUCUUACACUCUCAGAGUGCAGUGGGUAUACAUGGGCAAAAACAAUAUCCUGCCAGUCAAGGACAAGACCUUAAAUAUUUAGUGACUGGUACAUAUCCACCAGGACCUGUUGUAGCAUUGACUGCUGAUUUUUGAAAUUUAGUAUCAGCAGUCAAAGCCACAACAGGUCCUGGUGGAUGUGUACCAGUCACUAAAUAUCCAAUGUACAUACGUUGACAGGACAUACAAAUGCAGUGAUUAUGGUAAAGAAUCAAGUAGCAGAUCCACAGAUCAACCAUCUAUAGGAAGCCAUGAUAGGACCACAUAAUUAUGGGACUUGGCAGGAAAAAUAAGUCAUGUUAAUGAAUUUCCAAAAAAAAAAUCAUUCAGAGCAGUGGCUUUGCAUCCAAGGCACCAUACUUUGGCAGCUGGCUUUUCAAAUAAUAUUAGAUAGUGGAAAUUCCCCGAGGGACACUUCAACUUCAUUCAAAAUCUUUCUGGUCAUAAUGCUAUGAUUAAUACAUUAACUAUGCAUUCAGAUGAAGUGUUGGUAUCUACAGGGGAUAAUGGGGCUACACAUCUUUGGGACUAGAGAUUGGCUACAAUUUCCAAAUAGUUCACACACAGCUGUGCAACCUAGAUCUUUGGGCAAUGAAUCAAGAAUAUUUGAUUCAGCUAUGGAAGAGAUUCAACCAGUUAUCAAGAAAAAGAGAUUUUAAAGAAAUGUAUACAUAAUUGUACCAUUGUUUUAUUUUGGCUUUCAUUAAUGAAUUCAGUUACAUUUUGCUCUAUAAAGAAGAAAUUCUGCAAGUCUUUACUACUUCAUCACAUGUUACAAUUCCCUUAAAAAAUAAAAAUAAAAAAAUGGAAUAAAAUCACAUUUAUCAUUUGCCUAUGCAAAUGAGUUUCACUUUCAUUCAUACUUAGAAAUAUCUUAAGUUUUGAAAAUAAAGAUAAUUCCUUCUCUCCACUGAUCAAGUUUAAUAAGCAAGAUUUCAUAUUUUUUUUAUUUAAUUUACAAGGCAGGUAUUUCUUAAAAUUGAGAAAAAAUACAAAAUAUUUUAUAAAUUUAUUAUCUAUAGCUCUGAAUUUUCUCAAUCACUUUAUCUCUGUGGAUCAGUGUGAAUUUAUAUUAAAAAAAAAACUGCAUAUAUUUAUUUAAACUAUACUAGGCUUUUCAAGAUUGUUCAUCAAAUAUAUUCCGGAGGAAAAUUUUGUUGUAAAAUGAAUGUUUCGUGUGUGCUAUCACUAAGAAAAAAAGGCCACCUCUACUUUUUCAUCAAAUACCCUUCUAAGUAUUUUGUGAAAAGCCAAUGGGUUUCACAAUAAUGUUUAAGAGUUUUAUACUUUUUCUCUAUAUUGUAACUCAAUUUUGCAAAGAGCCUUUCUUUUAAUAAGAUAGCUUUCCCCCUCCUAAUUAGGCAUGAUUACUGUAUAACUUGAAAAAAUACUAUCUUGUCCCUCACUGUGAUUUCUGUAUAACUUGAAAAAAUACUAUCUUGUCCCUCACUGUGAUUCAGGUAGGGACUGAAUUAAAUGACGAGUCUGGGAGCGCUCAGGUUCUUAAGAUCGUGUGAUUGAGUGAUGUCCACAGGAAGAUUCAUUGUAGGUUAGGAUGAGCCAAGGAGGGCUUCCUGGGGGGAUGGAGCAGCACGGAAGACAGAAAACACAAAUAUUUAGGGAACUUGUGCGGUCCAAUUUAGCCGAAAGCAGCUAUUUGGUGUAGUGGCAGAUUAUAAUAAACAUUGAUCCUCACAACGCUAGGAGGUGGGCACCAUUACCCCCAUUUUGUAGAUGAGAAAACUGAGGCAGGCCACAGUGGUUAAAGGACUUGUCCUGGCUCACACAGCUAGCAGGAGCCUGUGACUUGAUUUGAACUCGGGUCUUCCUCUCGUCACAUGCCAAGUUCCAUCCGUGUUCCCCCCCUCUCCCCCCCAAGUAACCGCAAGCCUUUCUAUGUUGUUCCUCCGCCUUCCAGCCUCUCUAGCGUACCGUCAUUUUCUCUAGGUCCCUAGGACUACCUCAUCAGUAAUAUGCAAAUGUGACGCGCGCCCUCCGUCAUCCGCCCCUCGCGAAGUACUCGCUCCCCACCGCCUACAACCUCCCCUCCCCCGCCCCACACACAGCGGCCGGCUUUCGAGGCUCGCAGUGUCUCGGAUACGCAUGCGGGGCACGUUGCCUCUUCCCUGGGGCUGCCCGACACCGUGCCUGCCUAAAAAGAACUAGAUUUGGCGGCGGUCGUAGCGCCUCGUGUCUCGGCUUCUUAAGAGCUGCCUUGGGCAACCCAGGGCCCGAGACGGAGUUGGAGGCGAAGGAGGAAAGGGGAUGGGGAUCGCUAAGGGGGAGGCGCCCAGGGCCCUUUGGGCUUCGGGGGGCGCGGGACUCAGGCGAACACCGCCGCCAGGCCCGGCUCGGGAGCGGGUCCUCGGCCCGUAACGCCGAACUGGAGAGAGCGGGGGAGGGCGGGGAGGGGAGGGCGUUGGGGCUUCCGGCGGCGGCGGCGGCGGCGGCGGCGGCGCGGCCAUGGCGACGUUUGCAGGUAGCUCGGUCUCGGCGCGGCGGGAAGGGGUGGGAGCGCUGUGGGCAGCCCUUACAAGGCGCCGUGUUGUCUCUCCCCGGCUCCUCCUCAGUAGCUGCGGGUCAGCUAGAGGGAGGAGAGGUUGGGGGUGGGGGAAAGUCCUCCUGCGGCGCAAGCGCGUAGCUCCGGAGCGCGGCUCCCUUCCAAUCGCAUCUUCGUAGGCGCAGGCGCAGAAUGCUCCUUUCCCUGCCCCUGAACGCCCCCCACCCUCCCCUUCUCGGGGCAGGGGGCUGGGAAAUGCCACUCUGUGUCCUGAGGAGGCGUCUGGCGGGGAGGGCCCCAAGGCACGGGACGGAGCCUUCUUUCAGGCCUUCCUGCGGAUUAUCCGCGGACUCCACGGCUGCGUUUUCCUCGCGAGUCCCAGAGAGUUAUAUCUUCUGAAUACGGGACAACUUGGUGCUCCUUGACACAUUGGAGAAGCCGUUGAAAAUUGAGUGGAAACGAAAUCAAAGAAGCAGAUAAAGUUCACUUGCUGUUGUGGGCCCUGUGCCUCUCCUCCCCUGCCCAGCAGAGACCAUGUACUGCCUUCAGUGGUUACUGCCUGUUCUGCUCAUCCCAAAGCCCCUCAACCCAGCUCUCUGGUUCAGUCACUCGAUGUUCAUGGGCUUCUACCUUCUGAGUUUCCUCCUGGAGCGGAAACCAUGCACGAUCUGUGCCUUGGUCUUCCUGGCAGCCUUGUUCCUUAUCUGUUACAGCUGUUGGGGGAACUGUUUCUUAUAUCACUGCACUGGCUCUCAUCUCCCUGACUCAGCUCACGAUCCCAGGAUAGUGGGGACUUAGGAUCCUCACAUGCUGCUAAUUGAUUGGCUUUAAAGAUGAGAACCCAAGGGUAAAGGAUGUUCACAAUAUGAUUGAUCACAGGUUUCCUGCACAUCUGUGUAGACUAGAUUAGUACAUUCCUGAUUGGGCAUCCUUCACCUGUGAUGUGUCACUUCCAGUUUUUUAUGAUGUGAACAACAGCACCACCAGGUACUUUUGAUUUGAAGCCCAGCAGUGGUCAGUGGUUGUUGCUGUUUUUCUUCCCUGCCUUCAUUCCUACACCUCACUGACUGGAUGAUCACCUUUCCAUCUCAGAUCCUGCCAGGGGACCAGACCCAACAUGGCCAGUCUAACUCUGUUGAUCCAGAGAUCUCUGCCCUGUGGCAGUAGCGUUCAUAUCUUGUUUUACCUAAAUGAACUUUGUCCAGAGUGCAAUUAGUUUCCUUCUCUCCAGCCUCUCAGCCUUAUAUUGCUCAUAGGGCCAGUUGAAUCAAUACAGGUCUCAUAAUUGUAGAAACUCCAGCUUUUCACAGAAGCCUCUGGCACCUGGGAGCUUCAGCUUCCUGCUCAGUAGGCUAGAAUGAAAUGUAUUUUGGCAGUUCAAUGCUGUUCACAUUUAAUUCUCCUGUUUCUUUUUUUUCAAGAAAUGAGAUCAUUUGUGGACUAGUUCCUGGGUAUCAGAACAUCUCUCCUUCACAGUGCCACAUCCCUCCCCAAUUUCUAGAAUUUACAGGGUUCUCAUUUCUUAGGGGAAGUACUAUGAGCUAUUGGGUUGGGUUUUUUUUUUUUUUUUUUUUUAAUCUUUGUCCCAAUUCCUUUAAAUCUGCUGAUUCCCACACAACUGGGUUGGGAAGCAGAUCUGCGCUUUCAAAAUGGUGAUGAGCAAUCAGUGGUUUUGGGUAGGGGGUUAUCUUGGUUUUUAUUAGCUGGGAAGGAUGUAUGUUGUGUAUUUGAAUUGGGAAUUUAUCACUAGCACAGUUGGUAUCUCUACAAUGGCAGAGAUUGUUGGAAGGACGCAAGCCCUGGAACACAUCAGCCUGAAUGAAACAACUCAGGAGAAGUGAUAAGAAGUAGCCACUUUCGUGCCAUACUGGGACCCCUAGGCUUUGUCGCUUCAAAGAUUCCAUAGUACAAACAAAUAUCCAGGAAGGAAACUUUGUUUUUCUUAGUAUGCUUCCAGUCUGAUCCACUUACUCAUCUCCCCUUGGAUUGACUGAGGAGUGGGAGGUGACCUGGGCAGAGGACUGAACUUGGUGCUUGUCACCUGGGGAAUUGGACCUAACAGCAACAUUUUUGAAAUUUAAGGGCUGCUGGUUAAAAACAUUGUUUUAUUUUUGGUUGGCUCAAUUGCACAGCUGUUUAAGAUGUUUAAUAAAAGCUUUAUAAACUUUGGUUUUUGGGCUCUUGAGUGAUUUGUGGACUUCUUACAAUGCCAUUGGUUUUCACGUGUUUAAAUGGGGGUGUAGCAAAGAGGAAGUUUGUGUGGCACCAGAAUGCAAUCCCAGUUCAGGAAAUUAUGUGGCGAGGGGAGGGGGGCACAAGGACUCUCCUACUUACCAGUGCAAUGCCAGGGUUCUUAGUGGCCAUUUAGUACAGAGGAGAAACUGAGGCCCAGAGAGACCUGAGCUUUCGAAGGCCACAUCACCACUUGGUGACUUGGUGCUUAGAGGAGAAGCCAGGUUUCCACUCCCUGGAAGUUUCACUUUGCCCUCAGUUUCGUCACAGCUGAGCCUCUUUUACCUCUCUGGGCGGGACCUCCCCUGGGCACUCGGCCUUUGGGACAAGCUUACACUUCUCGGGGUUCUAGAGCCGGGGAGCAUACAAGUAACAAACUUGUUUGUUUGUGGAAUUCCAGCAGCUCCCACCAGGGGGCACCAUAGGACAGGUGAGGGGAGAAGCAGCUGUCCUGGGCACAAGAAGGUAGCCCCUAAAAUGGCGCCAAGAGCUCCGUGCACGUUAUAAGGCAGUCAUAGCUCUGGAGGGGACCUUAGAAGUCUCCCUCCUCCUGGUAG